rnacentral:tRNA from 1 species
GGGGAUUUAGCUCAGUGGUAGAGCACUUGCCUAGCAAGCACAAGGCCCUGGGUUCGGCGGUCCCCAGCUCCG